GAGAGUGGGAGUAUGCUUUUGCUGUGCAAAUAUGUGAGCAAUAUUCUUGUGUCAUAUGGCUUCCUUCGCUUGUUAUGAUGCUUCAACAAAUAGGGAGUGGUAAUUUGGAAGUAGUUUUUAUGGAAUUGCUACUUGCAAUUCAAUUCGUUUUGCACAAAAUGCAAGAUCCAGAAUUUGCAUUUAAGCGUGAAUUAACUGAAGAUUCAGAUAGCAUUCAGAGUAAACUUGAAGAACUUAUGGAGCAGAUUGUUUUCCUCUUACAAUAUGUUGACAGACGAAGCAAGCAACUA